rnacentral:lncRNA from 1 species
GCGAAAAUGUAUAAAUGGAAAACAUGCAAGUGGGAUGAUUUUACAUGCAAAAUCAAAAGAGUAUACAAAAUACAGUGUACAAGUGCUAAAAGCAUAGAAGUGAGAAACAUAUAAAUGGGAUUCUACUACGUGAUCUAUAUACAUAUAAAUCUAAUUGUUAAAUAUGUCCAUAUUACUAUAUUUUAAAAGGGCUGGAAAACGGUAUAAGUUAUGUAUGGUGCAUCUUAAAUAAAAAAGGAAAAAAUUGACACAUGAACUAUAAAAGGUUGGCCACCUCUGCCCUAGAAUCUUUGUCAUUUCUUAACAGAUUGAAUAAAAUACUUCUCCUACUAUAUGCAAAUCUUCUGCCAGAUCUCUAUUUUCUUCAUAUAUUUCAUAAAUAUGGGAUUAAUAUCAAUGAUACAGAUAAAUGCUCAUUAGUUUGGAUGUUGUCUAUAGUUUUCUUUUUAUUUCUGGUAAAGUCUUUGCAGAUGUUCUCUCAUAAGGCCAAAAUUGCAUUUUCUUUGAUAGCCAUGAGCCUCUCCUUGAUUUAAAAUCCAUGAAAACUACUAAUUAAUAGUCUGCUAAUUACUACAAUGGGUACAAAUCCUGUAUAAGAGUGCCCUAAAUGCAGCUAUUUUGUAGUCCAAAGAUUCAUUAGAUAUGUAGCUACUGCUCUUUAUUAAAAGUGUAUCUUUACAGAAGACUUGGCUGGCAUAAUUGUCAUUAAAGAUUUUAAUAUCUAAAUAAUCAAUCAUCAAAUCACUUUGUUUUUGUUUCUUUAGAAACAAGGCCAGAGAUUGAUAUGAUAUUUUCUAAAUUUUAUUGAUUUAUGAUGGUUUCUUUUAUCAUCAAAGUAUUCAUAUAUCUCCUAUAUAAGCACAUGCAUGCUUUUCACCUUGGCAAUAUGUCUGAUUCUUUUUUCCAGAUGAUAAGUUCUGCUAAACUUCUACAAAUGAGUUGCUGAUGGGCACUUCAAUCGUCUGUUUAAGGAAAUUACCAUUGAACAUAAAAUAUGGUUUAUGUAAUAGUAAAUGAGAUUUUGUAAGAAUGCUUGGAUCCAGCUCUUUAUCAGGGAGAUAUGUAGGUAGCAACUGGUACACUUUGAUGCAUGAGGUUCCAAGUUGAUAUUUGAAAAAAACAAUGCAAAGUCAUACAUUUCUAAAAUUUUAUCAAUGAGCAGCUCUACUUUUUACAAUGCAUCUAAAAGCUCCCAAGACAAUUGAAUCAACCAUUAAUAACUUUUCAUAAGAUACUUUCAACUCUUUUGGUAGCUGCAUUCCUUUUUUCUACAACUAAUUGCUUAUGUAGUUUUAUAAAAAUAAACAAACAAAGGGAAAUUUACCAUAUGAAAAGCUGUUAAUGAAAUAUAUGCAAAUUUGAAUAUAAAUGCCUAAUUAUAAAGUGAAAAUUUUAAGCGGAU